rnacentral:rRNA from 1 species
UACGGGGGGGGCAAGCGUUGUUCGGAAUUACUGGGCGUAAAGGGCUCGUAGGCGGCCAACUUAAGUCGGAUGUGAAAUCCCCAAGCUUAACUUGGGAACUGCAUCCGAUACUGGAUGGCUUGAAUCCGGGAGAGGGAUGCAGGAAUUCCAGGUGUAGCGGUGAAAUGCGUAGAUAUCUGGAGGAAUACCGGUGGCGAAGGCGGCAUCCUGGACCGGCAUUGACGCUGAGGAGCGAAAGCUAAGGGGAACAAACGGGGAUU